UACGUAGGGGGCAAGCGUUGUCCGGAAUCAUUGGGCGUAAAGCGCGCGUAGGUGGCUUCGUAAGUCCGUUGUGAAAGUCAAAGGCUCAACCUUUGAAAGCCGAUGGAUACUGCGGAGCUAGAGUACGGAAGAGGCGAGUGGAAUUCCUGGUGUAGCGGUGGAAUGCGCAGAUAUCAGGAGGAACACCAAUAGCGAAGGCAGCUCGCUGGGACGUUACUGACGCUGAGGCGCGAAAGCGUGGGGAGCGAACAGG
rnacentral:rRNA from 1 species